AGAUUACAAGACAAGCACACAAGAUUAAUAGAUGAAAGAAAAGGAGGGAGACGAGGAGGAAGAAGAAGAAUAAGAGGAGGAGGAGGAGGAGGAGGAGGAGGAGAAGAGGUGCUCUGUGAAGACCAAACAGCAUUUCACAGCUCUUCCUGACUACCCAAAGCACAUCAAACUGGACAAGCACAGUUUUGAAGAAGAGGAGGAGGAAGAGGAAGAGGAAGGAGGAGGAGGAGGAGGAGGAGGGUUAGGUGUGGCCCUCCCUCCCCCUCCCACACCACUGCAGUCCCAGCCUCUGAUUGGCCAGCCCUCAGCCAAUCAGGAGAGAGACUUUAUGGCCUUGCAGGUGGAGGAAGGCCGAAGGGAACUGGAGGAGGAGAGAAAGAGGCACAGGCUGGAGGUUGAAAACAAAAGGUCUAGAUUUAGAAUGAUGACAACGACCACAGCCACCACCAGCACCUCCCCCACUAGUCUGCCUUUCUCUUCAAGUCCCAGCGAGGA